rnacentral:rRNA from 1 species
CAUUCACGGAGAGUUUGAUCCUGGCUCAGGACGAACGCUGGCGGCGUGCUUAACACAUGCAAGUCGAACGAUGAACCUCCUUCGGGAGGGGAUUAGUGGCGAACGGGUGAGUAACACGUGGGCAAUCUGCCCUGCACUCUGGGACAAGCCCUGGAAACGGGGUCUAAUACCGGAUACUGACCCGCUUGGGCAUCCAAGCGGUUCGAAAGCUCCGGCGGUGCAGGAUGAGCCCGCGGCCUAUCAGCUUGUUGGUGAGGUAAUGGCUCACCAAGGCGACGACGGGUAGCCGGCCUGAGAGGGCGACCGGCCACACUGGGACUGAGACACGGCCCAGACUCCUACGGGAGGCAGCAGUGGGGAAUAUUGCACAAUGGGCGAAAGCCUGAUGCAGCGACGCCGCGUGAGGGAUGACGGC